rnacentral:lncRNA from 1 species
GUUCUGGCAACUGUGCGUGGCGACGACCUCUUCACGCUACUUGUUGAGCGCCGCAACCAGUCACUGGGCAGACGUCACACCGACAACAUCUCUGUCCAGCUCGCUUCCACCGUUAACUCGGCCGUCACCACCUACUCCUCCGCGCUAUCUUCAAGGAAUAAACAUUGCCAUGUGAAAAUAUAACGAACAAAAAUGAAAUAAAAAAAAGAAAGAAAAGAAAAAAACACCGACAGACAGUGCACGGGAAAACAUAAAACCAAAAACAAAAUAUAUAAAAGAGAGAGAGAAAAAAACAAUUAGAAAUAUAAAUAAAAGAAAUUAAAAUAAAGAUAAGGUGAUGUGAUAAGAGAACACCGAACCAAGACAAAGAGAAGAAAUUAACAAACGGACCAAUCACAGGCGAGGAACCUGCCCUUCCCAAGACCGUUAACAUGCGCUGUUACACGAGCGUGAUGGGCGCUAGAAGACACGUUUCGGUGUGGGCGUGGGUGGUGCCUGUCCUGCUGGCGACGCAUGGUGAGUACUGAUAUCUAUGAAUUACAUAUGAAUUACAAAACACUCUAUUGAUGAUAUGGCGAAAAAAAGAAAGAAAAGAAGAAGAAGAAGAAGAA